UGGUGGCGAGUGGCGAACGGGUGAGUAAUGCAUCGGAACGUGCCCAGUCGUGGGGGAUAACUAGUCGAAAGAUUAGCUAAUACCGCAUACGACCUGAGGGUGAAAGCGGGGGACCUUAGGGCCUCGCGCGGUUGGAGCGGCCGAUGUCUGAUUAGCUAGUUGGUGGGGUAAAGGCCCACCAAGGCGACGAUCAGUAGCGGGUCUGAGAGGAUGAUCCGCCACACUGGGACUGAGACACGGCCCAGACUCCUACGGGAGGCAGCAGUGGGGAAUUUUGGACAAUGGGCGCAAGCCUGAUCCAGCCAUGCCGCGUGCAGGAAGAAGGCCUUCGGGUUGUAAACUGCUUUCGGACGGACAGAAAUCGUCAGGGCCAAUACCCCUGAUGGAUGACGGUACCGUAAGAAGAAGCACCGGCUAACUACGUGCCAGCAGCCGCGGUAAUACGUAGGGUGCGAGCGUUAAUCGGAAUUACUGGGCGUAAAGCGUGCGCAGGCGGAUAUUUAAGUCAGACGUGAAAUCCCCGAGCUUAACUUGGGAAUUGCGUUUGAAACUGGCUAUCUAGAGUGCGUCAGAGGGGGGUGGAAUUCCACGUGUAGCAGUGAAAUGCGUAGAGAUGUGGA
rnacentral:rRNA from 1 species